GUCCAUGUGGCACAGUGGUUAAUGCAACUGCCUAGUAAGCAGGAAAUCCUGGGUUCAAGUCCCAGUUUGGCACA